AAAAAAAAAAAAACUGGAUUUCUAUAUACAACGUUUAACUGUCUAUCUUAUAUGAAAUUUUUUUAUAAUUAGUAUUUUUAAACAUAAUUAAUACUUUAUGCGUGACUUGUCUUUUUAAUUUUUUUUUAUAAUUUUUUUAAAUAAGACGGACGGUCAAACGUUGAACACGGAAACUUAGGUUUGUUUUUUUU
rnacentral:pre_miRNA from 1 species